CUACUACAGAUUUGACCUUUUGCCACGCCCCAAUUGUCACGGUUAUAGGCGGAACCGUGACAAAAGGUCAAUUAUCACGGUUUUAAAAGGAACCGUGACAAAAGGAAAUAAUAUUUUAUUAUUAUUGUUUUGGAACCGUGACAACAGAAGUUCAAUAUCUGGCUCUUAUUUUUCCCUCCCCUCCAAUUUUUCCUGAAAAACCCUACCAGUACUGCACCCUAACCUCUUCUCGCGCGCUCUCAAUCGGUCUCUCUCCAAUAUCUGCCUUCUCAAUCGGUCUCUCUUUCCUGCUCCCUCUCAAUCGCCGGUCGCCGUUCUCCGUCACGCCGUUCGCCGUUCGCGCCGUUCUCGGUUCACGCCGUUCUCUGUCACGCGCACUUCUCUCUCUCGAGCACCAUUGCAAAGCCCAGAUUUAUUCGAAGUUGAAGAUCGAAGAGCCAAGCUGAUUGCCACUGACUUAGAGGACCAGUCUGAUUCUAAAUAUCCAGGUAUGGACCGUAAAUGGAUGUUUGCUAAUCGCUUAUCCGAUGAAUAUGCUGCUGGGGUGAAAGA